GACGAACGCUGGCGGCGUGCUUAACACAUGCAAGUCGAACGGAAAGGCCCUGCUUUUGUGGGGUGCUCGAGUGGCGAACGGGUGAGUAACACGUGAGUAACCUGCCCUUGACUUUGGGAUAACUUCAGAAAACUGGGGCUAAUACCGGAUAGGAGCUCCUGCUGCAUGGUGGGGGUUGGAAAGUUUCGGCGGUUGGGGAUGGACUCGCGGCUUAUCAGCUUGUUGGUGGGGUAGUGGCUUACCAAGGCUUUGACGGGUAGCCGGCCUGAGCGGGUGACCGGCCACAUUGGGACUGAGAUACGGCCCAGACUCCUACGGGAGGCAGCAGUGGGGAAUAUUGCACAAUGGGCGGAAGCCUGAUGCAGCAACGCCGCGUGCGGGAUGACGGCCUUCGGGUUGUAAACCGCUUUCGCCUGUGACGAAGCGUGAGUGACGGUAAUGGGUAAAGAAGCACCGGCUAACUACGUG
rnacentral:rRNA from 1 species